rnacentral:lncRNA from 1 species
CAUCAUUCACAAAACUAUCAACAUAUUCACAUAUACACCUUUCUCAUACAAAACUAUCACAAAAUCGUAAAAUCACAUAUAAUAUAAGCGAAUUAUUGCCACAAAAUCAGUAAGUUAUAAAUGGCCAGAAAUCAAACUAUCUUAGAACUAUUCGGAUAUACCAAAAUUUCUCCUAAUUAUGUAUGCCAUCCAGCAUGUAAAAAGCAAUCGACUAAAAAUGCUCAAAAAAUCUGCAUAGACACAAACGAAUCCAGCAAGCACAAUCAAAAUCCGAUUUUGUAAACUAAGCGCAACAGAAUGAAGAAAGAAAAAGUCAAAAAUCAACUGAUAUUUUACUGAAAUUGAAAAACCCACGAGAGUAAACAAUCAGCUACACUAAUCAGACAAAGGUACUUCAUCAAAACUCAAACUUGCACAAGAUUUUCCGUCCCAUUAUAAAAAUUGAAUUUUUAAAGUAUAGCCAGUUGGUAAACUCACCGAGUACUGAAAAGGAGCAGCGCAGCUGAUGCGAAGCUCCUUGGAUGCGUGAAGUUGGAGAAAAUGAGAGUGGAAAUCUGGAAAUGUGAGAAGAAGGAGAAGAUUUAGAUGUAGAAUUUAAAGUAGUGGUGGUGAUGGUGGCGAAGGAAUAGGCGGGCAGCGCCGGUGGGUGGUGGUGGCGACCGCGCGAAGGAAGAAAGCGUCGAGGGGCGGCGACGUGCGAGCGCGAGGCAACGGAGACGGGCGGGCGCGAUGCAGCGUACUCUCAGGCCUCAGCAGUCAGCAACGUCUUUCACAGCAACGUACUUUCAGCGGCGGCGAUAGGCCGGCGCGGGGCAGCGGCACCGGCGGCGGAGUCGAGAAGGGAGAGAGUCGAGAGACAAUACUCAGCAGGAGGCAGCGCCGCAGCAGGAAGAAAGAGACGAAAAAUUAGGGCUAGGAGGAGUUUUAGGGAUUUGGG